UAAGGAAUAUUGGACAAUGCCCGGAAGGGUGAUCCAGCCAUGCCGCGUGCAGGAAGAAGGCCCUAUGGGUUGUAAACUGCUUUUUCAGUGGAGAAAACCCUCUGACGAGUUUGGAGGUUGCUAGUACACUGAGAAUAAGCAUCGGCUAACUUCGUGCCAGCAGCCGCGGUAAGACGAAGGAUGCGAGCGUUAUCCGGAUUUACUGGGUUUAAAGGGUGCGUAGGCGGGCGUAUAAGUCAGUGGUUAAAGGCCAUGGCUUAACCAUGGUAGGGCCAUUGAUACUGUAUGUCUGGAGUACAAGAGGCGUAUGCGGAAUAUGGCAUGUAGCGGUGAAAUGCAUAGAUAUGCCAUAGAACACCGAUCGCGAAGGCAGCAUACGAUUUUGUAACUGACGCUGAGGCACGA
rnacentral:rRNA from 1 species